UGCUCUCACUAGUGUAAGUAUCUCUGGAUAAGAGCAUCUGCUAAAUGACUAAAA
rfam:Salmo salar isolate Sally breed double haploid chromosome ssa12, whole genome shotgun sequence.